rnacentral:tRNA from 1 species
AAGAAAGAAAAAAGAACUGCUAAUUCUUUAUACCACAUCUUAACCUGUGGCUUUCUUG